AACCUAGCACACCUGCGGUGUGUACCUGCGGAAGGAUCAUUACAAGUGACCCCGGUCUAACCACCGGGAUGUUCAUAACCCUUUGUUGUCCGACUCUGUUGCCUCCGGGGCGACCCUGCCUUCGGGCGGGGGCUCCGGGUGGACACUUCAAACUCUUGCGUAACUUUGCAGUCUGAGUAAACUUAAUUAAUAAAUUAAAACUUUCAGCAACGGAUCU
rnacentral:misc_RNA from 1 species